rnacentral:rRNA from 1 species
UACGUAGGGGGCAAGCGUUAUCCGGAUUUACUGGGUGUAAAGGGAGCGUAGGUGGCGAUGCAAGCCAGAAGUGAAAACCCGGGGCUCAACCCCGAGGACUGCUUUUGGAACUGUGUUGCUGGAGUGCAGGAGAGGUAAGUGGAAUUCCUAGUGUAGCGGUGAAAUGCGUAGAUAUUAGGAGGAACACCGGUGGCGAAGGCGGCUUACUGGACUGUAACUGACACUGAGGCUCGAAAGCGUGGGGAGCA